UCCUUUGGGUAUCAUGAUUAUGUGAUCUUAUGUUGGUCAUGUACGUUUUGUAUGGCUUGCUAUGUAGUUUUAUGUUAUGUUUUACGUCGGUUGUUUUUGUGUUAAAAUCGAGGACGAUUUUGUUUUUAAGUUGGGGAGAAUGUAAUAACCCGUAUUUUUUUAUAACUUGUUUUGGUGGUUGGUUGUCCGUUUAAAGUUUGGUUUGUGAUGGACUUUGGUUGUGUUUUAACUUCGACUUGUUCUCGUUGUGCUUCCGACUUGUUUUCGGAUUGAUUUAUGUGCGAAUUAGCAUAUGUGGUACCUUGGUUGUGUCAUGUUGAAUGACUUAUGUGUACCCCUUGAACCUUUAAGUAUUUGAUGUUGAAUUGAUUUAUUUCCGGAUUGUUAUCGAAAUAAUGUUUGCAUGUUUUCCAAAUCUGCUAUGCUCUAGUAAAACGUCCAUAUCUCCCAAUUUAACCGUCGGAUCGGGCUACCCUUUGGAUAUGUUGCACCUAAGAGGAUUAUCUUUCAUUCGACCGUUCGGAUCGUCGUUUUGACCUCUUUUCGGGUCAACCGGACCUAUAACCGGACCUGCUGGGUUGAACCGGUCGUAGGUCCGGUCCACUCUGAUUUCUGCAUUGGCAGUGAGUCAACCGGUUCAAUAACCGGUUCUGCUGGACAGAACCGGCCGUAGAACCGGUUCAUUACGGGUUUGCUUAUAAAAACUUCGUUUCUCGACCAAAUCAGCCCCCACUCGUUCCCACAAACCCUAAACUGAUCUCUAAACAUUUAUAGACAAUUCCCAAUCACAUUUUGGUGCCUCAAGACACUUGGUAAGUGUUCUAACAUCCUUUCCAUCAUUCAAUUCAUAGUUUAUGUAAUCGAAUUGUUUGGGUAUUCAUUGGUCCUUCGGUUUUUCAUUGUUGUAGCCAUUAUUCCACUAUUUUUCUGAGUUUUCCUUGCUCUUUUGGAUUGCUAAGACCCGUCGACUGCUCGUGCUUCGGAGUCGGAUCAGGUUUAGUUGCUUGUAAAGUUUUCACGUGGAUUUGCAAGCAGGUUAUGAUAUGAGCGAGUCAGCUGCUCUCCGAUUCUUUAUUUCCUCGGAGGUUUUACUAUAUUUAAUAAGGUUAUUAAACUUAUUUUAUUCUUAGACCGCAGUAGUAAAUAGAAGUCUUAUGUCGAAUACUUGUUAUAAAUUUAUUCACUGAAUUAUUGCUA